UAAUGAUUGAAGAGGACUGUUUGCUAGUGUGAGCUAUUUCAGUGCAAUGUUUUAUUUAUUUUUUUUUUUAGUCUAACAAGAAAAAUAGUUUUGUAACCCAAGCACAAAGAUGUCACCGUGUGUCUGCUAGGCUUGUGUGAGGCAACAAUUAAAAUAUAUAUUACAAAUGUUUCUGAAUGUCUGUGGUUCUCAAUUAUGCCUUAGUACAAAUGUUCUUUAAAGCAUAUCAUGUGAUUGGUUUGGUAUGUUUUUGAAGUCACAAUAAAUCAAAAGAUAGAAAAAU